AGCAGCAUGGCGCAGUUGGAAGCGCGCGGGGCCCAUAUGAUAAUUAAGACUGACAUAAUUACUCAACCCCGAGGUCACUUGAUCGAAACAAGUUGCUGCUA
rnacentral:tRNA from 1 species